rnacentral:sRNA from 1 species
CAACCAACGAAAGGAGGUGAUCCAGUGUCUCUUACCAAGCGCUGUCACCUCGCUGGGAUCGCCCGCUAAGCUCAUUUGAGGCUUGGCAUCGGGGCGCUCUCAGCCCUGGACCAGCGAGUUCAAGAGUUGGGGCGCGGCGGGCCAUCCUGCCGCGCC